UACAGAGGUGGCAAGCGUUGUUCGGAAUUACUGGGCGUAAAGGGCGCGUAGGCGGCCAUCUAAGUCAGACGUGAAAUCCCCCGGCUCAACCUGGGAACUGCGUCUGAUACUGGGAGGCUAGAGUUUGGGAGAGGGAUGUAGAAUUCCAGGUGUAGCGGUGAAAUGCGUAGAUAUCAGGAGGAACACCUAUUGCGAAGGCAGCUCGCUGGGACGUAACUGACGCUGAGACGCGAAAGCGUGGGGAGCAAACAGG
rnacentral:rRNA from 1 species